rnacentral:rRNA from 1 species
UGGCGGCGCGCCUAACAAUGCAAGUCGAACGAGAAAGCCGGGGCAACCUGGUGAGUACAGUGGCGUACGGGUGAGUAACACGUGGAUAAUCUACCCUCUAGUGGGGAAUACCGUUGGGAAACCGACGACAAUACCGCAUAAGCUCGAGAGAGGAAAGCAGCAAUGCGCUGGAGGAGGAGUCCGCGGCUGAUUAGCUAGUUGGUGAGGUAAUGGCUCACCAAGGCAAAGAUCAGUAGCCGGCCUGAGAGGGCACACGGCCACACUGGCACUGAAACACGGGCCAGACUCCUACGGGAGGCAGCAGUGGGGAAUCUUGCACAAUGGGGGAAACCCUGAUGCAGCGACGCCGCGUGAGCGAUGAAGCCCUUCGGGGUGUAAAGCUCUUUCGGCAGGGAAGAAUAAUGACGGUACCUGCAGAAGCAGCUGCGGCUAACUACGUGCCAGCAGCCGCGGUAAUACGUAGGCAGCAAGCGUUGUUCGGAGUUACUGGGCGUAAAGGGUGUGUANGCGGUUGGAUAAGUGUGGUGUGAAAUCUCCCGGCUCAACUGGGAGGGUGCGCUACAAGCUGUCUGACUA